AGAAUCAACGCUGGCGGCGUGCCUAACACAUGCAAGUCGAACGAGAAAGUGGAGCAAUCCAUGAGUAAAGUGGCGACCGGGUGAGUAACACGUGACUAACCUACCUUCAAGUGGGGGAUAACCUCGGGAAACCGGGGCUAAUACCGCAUAACAUCUUUGGAGUGGAAAUUCUGGAGAUCAAAGGAGCAAUUCGCUGGAAGAGGGGGUCGCGGCUGAUUAGCUAGUUGGCGGGGUAAUGGCCCACCAAGGCUUUGAUCGGUAGCCGGCCUGAGAGGGCGCACGGCCACACUGGAACUGAAACACGGUCCAGACUCCUACGGGAGGCAGCAGUGGGGAAUUUUGCGCAAUGGGGGAAACCCUGACGCAGCAACGCCGCGUGGAGGAUGAAGUCCCUUGGGACGUAAACUCCUUUCGACCGGGAAGAUGAUGACGGUACCGGUGGAAGAAGCCCGGCUAACUUCGUGCCAGCAGCCGC
rnacentral:rRNA from 1 species